AGAGUUUGAUCAUGGCUCAGAUUGAACGCUGGCGGCAGGCCUAACACAUGCAAGUCGAGCGGCAGCACAGAGGAACUUGUUCCUUGGGUGGCGAGCGGCGGACGGGUGAGUAAUGCCUGGGAAAUUGCCCGGUAGAGGGGGGAUAACCAUUGGAAACGAUGGCUAAUACCGCAUAACCUCGCAAGAGCAAAGCAGGGGACCUUCGGGCCUU
rnacentral:rRNA from 1 species